CGCUUGGCUCCCAGGCCUUCUCUUUCCUUUGCUCUUUGUCGGCCCCCUCUUCCCUCCUGUCUCUCCCCAGCUCUGACUUGUAGGGGGAAGCCGCUGACAUUUGGGGGAAACUUUAAUACCGAUAUCAGUUGUUAUCGGAGAGGGGUCUAGAUCCAGACCCCAAACGAGAGUUCUUGAACUUCGCACAAGAAAGAAUUCGAGGAUGUGAGAUACCUGAAGGCAGGGGCUGUCUUUCUCGCCUUCACUUCUGUGACUAGAAAACCACAUUGAGGUUUUAAUUUGAGUUAUGUCCUCUUUCAGCAGCCUGAAUGAACGGUAAGGAUUCUCCCUUCCCCAUUCCAAGAAAGUCACCAAAUGUCCUUAUGUUUAGGACUAAUGAUUUUGGCACUACAGGGAUAAAUGAAGAGUUGAGAAAUAAAGCAUGCAACAGGAAUCUGGAAUAUCACCCCUACAUAGAAUUUUGUUGUAAAAAAAGAAGCCCCGACCGAGAGAGGAAGAAAUAGGCCAACCCCGGAGGGAAGGUUCUGAAAGCUUUUGGAGAGACUGGGAGCAAGGCAGAGGUGUGCAGGUCCUGUAGUACAGCAGACCAGCACUUCCCUCCCACAGCUGGUGUGUGGCAGGACCUCAUGGCAGAAAAGCUGCAUAGUCCCCUGAGAGAGAAGGGUUACCAAGCCUUUAACUUCCCAGUCAACAAAAGUUCUGGGACUGGGCCACUGCUUUCAAGGGACCACAUGGAUUUUGACCCUGAACACCAGUUCAAUGUGACUAGAAGAGAUCAGAUGAUCUUCCAGAAUGUUCUAGAUUGUGCCAGAUCCCCUCACUUGACCCUAGGAAGAAGGGUUCUUGCCCCCCAUCCCCACCAAAUUCUAGAGAUUGAAUUUCCUGAGUGAAGGGGGACUCUGAAACAAUGUAAUUUUAUUUAGAGACACAAAAGAACACUGCCUUUCAGAAAUCCUAGUGAACUAAAAUUCACAUCUACAGUGUGUCCAUGGUCCUGGCUAAGGCAGGUCAUGUAAAAUACUUGGUGAAUAAGUAAAUAAUGGAAGUACCUUGAAAUUUCUCCAGUCUAUUUUUAUAAUCCCAUAGCAACAUUUUUAUUUACCUACAUUGAAUGAAAGUUUUCCAUGGCUAUUUCCUGAGCAUUUAAAGUGCAGGCAAAUGAGUUUUGAAUAAGGAUUCAAAAGACUUUUAUGACUGCAAGCCAGCAACAAGCUGAAUUUAUAUUGCACUAGUAUACAUUGUAGAUUGCUAACGUGACUAAGCCUUGGUACUUUACACUUUGUCUUUGAAUAGAUUGAAGUCUCCAAUGAGAGCUUGCCUUACAAAGCCCCACCUCAUAUGAUAAACCCUUGAAGACAAAAACUCAAAAUCUUGCUUUGUAUAUUGGUAUCCAUGUCAUAAAGCUGCCUUAUACCUACAAUUUCUAGUCCCUGCUCAGAAUGCAAGUUAUUUGGACUAUUACUUUAUUUUUAGUGUCAAUUACUUGUGGUUAUUCAUACAGGGAUCACUUAAAUGAAUUAAAUCUAGAGAUAAUUGAAUAACAUUCCUUUAGUCCUUAGUUUCUGCUCAUUCUCCUCUCUAGUCUUCAGACUUUUUCCUCUAGGCUGCUACACGAGCUGUAGAUUCAAUGUAUUAUCUCCCCCACCACACCCAGAAUCCUCAAGAAUUUACCUUUGAGUUCUUUCAAUGUUCUUUUAUCUAGGUUUUGUUGUGUUUGCUUUGUUUUUGCUUUCAAUAGAGUUUUUUGUUUUGGAAUAUCUUAGGGUCACAGAAAAAUUGAGCAAAAGUUACAGAGCUAUCCCAUAAUACCCUGUCCUAAAACAUGCAUAGCCUCCCCUAUUAUCGACGUAUCUCACCGGAGCAGUACACUUGUGACAACUGAUGGACCUACACUGACACAUCAUUUUUGCCCAGAUUCAGUAGUCUACAUUAGGGUUCACUCAGAGUGUUGUACUUCUAUGGUUUUGGACAAAUGUAUGAUAUAUGUCCACCAUUGUAGAAUCUUACAGAGUAGUUUCACUACCCUAAAAAUUCUCUGUGCUCUCCCUGUUUAUUCCUCCUUCCCCUGAACUCCUAGGAACCACUGAUCUUUUUACUGUAGCCUUUUCCAGAAUGUCAUAUAGUUGGAACUGUACAGCAUGCAGCCUUUUGAGAUUGACUUCUUUCAUUUACCAAUAUGCAUUUAAAUUUCCUCUAUGUCUUUUCAUGGCUUGAUAGUGCUUUUUCAUUUCCUUUUAGUGCUGAAUAAUAUUCUCUUGUCUGGUUGGACCACAGUUUAUUUAUCUAUCCACCUAUUGAAGGAUAUCUUGGUUGCUUCCAGGUUUGGGCGGUUACAAAUGAAACUGCUAUAAACAUCCAUGUGCAGGUUUUUGUGUGAACAUAAGUUUUCACUUUUUUGGGUAAAUGCCAAGGAGCAUGACUGCUGAAUCAUAUGAUAAGAGUAUCAUUAGCUUCCUAAAAAAUCUCCAAGCUGUUUUCCAAAGUGGUUGUACCAUUUUGCAUUUUCACCGCAGUGAAUGAGAUGUUCUGUGGCUCUAAAUCCUCACUAGCAUUUGGUGUUGUCAUUGUUCUAGAUUUUGGCCAUUCUAAUAGGUGCAUAGUGAUAGCUCAUUUGUUCUUUUGAUUUGCAAUUCCCUGAAAUCAUAUGAAGUUGAGCAUCUUUGUGUAUGUGUAUAUACACAAAGAUUCGUGUGUAUAUUUGUACUUGCAUAUAUAUACACACACAAAGGUUUAUAUAUAUUGUAUUUGUAUAUUUAUGUGUGUUUGUACACACACACACACACACACACAUAUAUAUGUGUGUGUAUAUAUAUAUGUGUGUGUAUAUAUAUAUAUAUACAGAUGUCAUCUAUGUAUCAUCUUUGGUGAGGUAUCUGUUAGGUUCUUUAGUCCAUUUUUUACUUGGGUUGUUUUUUUCUUGUUAAGAUUUAAGAUUUUUUUGUAUAUUUUUAAGGUAGUCUUUUAUCAGAUCGUCGUGCAAAUAUUUUCUCCCAGUCUGUGGCUUGUGUUUUCAUUUUCUUGACAGUGUCUUUGAAGAACAGGUGUUUUUUUGUUUUUUUUUUUUCUCUUUUGAGACGGAGUCUCACUCUGUUGCCAGGCUGGAGUGCAGUGGCGUGAUCUUGGCUCACUAUAACCUCUAACUCCCUGGUUCAAAUGAAUCUCCUGCCUCAGCCUCCCGAGUAGCUGGGAUUACAGGCAUUUGCCACCACACCCAGCUAUUUUUCUCUUCUUUGUAUUUUAUAGUAGAGACGGGGUUUCACCAUCUUUGGCCAGUAUAGUCUUGAUGUUUUGACCUCAUGAUUCGCCCACCUUGGCCUCCCAAAGUGCUGGGAUUACCCAAAGUGAGGCACCUUAUCUGGCCAGGUUUUUGUUGUUGUUGUUAAGGAUAAAGUUCUGCUCUGUCACCCAGGCUGGAGUGCAGUGGUAAGCAUUGAAUUCCUGGGCUCAAGUGAUCCUCCCGCCUGGACCUUCCUUCCAAAGUGCUAGAAUUACAGGCAGGUGUGAGUCACUGUGCUUGGCCUUGACAUUUUAAAUUUUAAUGAAGUUUGGUUUAUCAAUUUUUCAUAGUUCAUGCCUUUGGUGUUGUAGAUUUAUUUUCUUUAUCUUAUAACUAUCAGAAGGGUAUUUCAAAGAUAGGUAAUAACUGGAAAAGUAGAAACAAGCUAAACAACACCAUGAUCACCAUGAUUAAGCAAUCAGGCAAACCCUGAAGGUGAGACAUUCCACUGGACAACUGUCCUGGACACUUAACAAAUCAGCGUCAUAGAAACAGCGAGACUUAUAGAGUUAAAGCAAUUUAAGUGACCCAACCAUCAGAUGUAUUAUAACAUGUGAUCCUGGAUUAGAUUCCAGUUUAUGUAGAUCUAAAUAGCUACAAAAAUGAUUUUGGGAAACAUUAUGGAAAUUGGAAUAUGGCUUGGGUCUUAAACGAUAUUAAAACUCAUUAAGAUUAUUAUUAUGGCUCGUUAGGCAUGAUAGUGUUGAUUUUGGUUCUGGAAGAUGUUCUUAUUUUUUAGAGCUGCAUACUGAAGUAUUUAGGGAUAAAAUAUCAUGAUGUCUAUAUUUUACAGUGUUUCCACAUAAAAAAAUAAAGCAAAUGUAAAGGAAUAAAAUUUGAAAGAACAGAAUUAUUUCACCCAUUAGAUCCUCAUUGGCUGACCCAACCAAACCAAUACCUGCUUUUCUACAGUAUACGAGUAAAGAGAGCACUUGAGUGGGGAAAGGGCAUGAAAUCUGGACUAUGUCUUUCCCUUUACUAGCUGUGCAAUUGUGGGCAAAGUAAUUCUCCUGUCUGUGUCUCAGUUUCUUCAACUACAAGAUAGGUGUAUUAGUUGUAUUAGUCCAUUUUCAUGCUGCUGAUAAAGACAUACCUGAGACUGAGUAAUUUAUAACGAAAAAGAGGUUUAAUGGACUCGCAGUUCCACAUGGAUGGGGAGGCCUCACAAUCAUGGUUGAAGAUGAAAGGCAUAUCUUACGUGGCAGCAGGCAAGAGGGAACUUGUGCAGGGAAACUCCCCCUUAUAAAACCAUCAGAUCUUGUGAGACUUACUACCACGAGAACAGUAUGGGGGAAACCACCCCCACAAUUCAAUUAUCUCCAACCUGGUCCCUCCCACAAUAUGUGGGAAUUAUGGGAGCUACAAUUCCAGAUGAGAUUUGGGUGGGGACCUAGAAAAAUAAUCUCAUUAGUAGACCUACCACCCAGGAUAAUUGUGAGGGUAAAUGAGUUAAUAUACACAAGGCCAUUAAAUCAGUUCCUGGCACAUAGUAACACGUAAGACAUACCUAUUAUCAUUGUUUUUGUUUUAGUUAUUCAGGUACAUGAUCCUAGCAUGUGCUGGGUUGGCAUACACCGAUAACAAUCAGUGCAGCUUCUUGGGUUUUCUGGUACAUUGCUAGUAGCCAUGUGAACUAUUUUUGGGGACCCAUUUUUGAGUUUUCUCUUACACUACAUUGAGAACUGUUUGACUCCAUGUUUUAGGGGCUGGUGAAGAGUGGUGAGACCUAAAGACAUUUUCUCUUAUUAGUUGUAAUGGGGCUUUAGUGCUCCAUUAUAAAUCUAAAGUUUUAAGUGUAGUUAAAUAAUAGGUAAUUGAAGACACCCCUAGGUCUAGAAUCUUCUGACAGAAGAUUUAACAUCUUCAUUAGGAAUACUGGAAUAAAAUUCAUCUUUUCCUUUAAAAAAUUAGCAGAUACAAAAUAAGAUGCCUUUAUAAAUAUAACCCUUCAAGCAAAUCUGACACAUGAUGAUUUAGGACUAAAAUUUAUCUUUGUCACCAACAAAAUAGAAAGAGGAUAAAUAUGGUUUUAUAACUGUGUAUCAGGUUUUUAGUCGGAGCAAUGCUGUACUUUAAUUAAGAUUACAAAUGACUUUAUUUCUUAGUGUUCUAUGUCAUUUUUCAAUUUUAGACUUUUAGUACAGAUUAAGAAUAUUUUUUCUACUCCUUUCUUUCACUUGCAUGAGCACAGGGAGUUCUUUGACCUCUAGAAGCUACCAGGGCUGUUUGGCCUGUUACAACAGCACAUUUAUUAUCGAUUGAUUUUAGAGUAAACUGAAAUUUUUAAGAUUUGAUGGGUGUGUAUUAGAGACAAUUCUAAAUGACUGAGUUAAAAUUUACAGUCAUAAAAUGUUAUGAGAACCAAAGGUCUGCAGUACCAAAAUAACAGCUUCAGAAAUUAGAACAUUAUUUGUUAUAAUUCUACUACAUUAUAAUUUCUUUCUUUCUUUUUUAUCUUCCUGAAAUGGAGUCUUGUAAUGUUGCCCAGGCUGGUGUACAGUGGUGUGAUCUUGGCUCACUGCAACCUCUGCCUCCUGGGUUCAGGCGAUUCUCCUGCCUCAGCCUCUUGAGUAGCUGGAAUUACAGGCUCCCGCCACCAUGCCAGGCUAAUUUUUUGCAUUUUUAGUUGAGACGGUGUAUCACUAUGUUGGGCAGGCUGGUCUUGAAUUUCUGACCUCGUGAUCCACCUGCCUCAGCCUCCCAAAGUGCUGGGAUUACGGGCAUGAGCUGUUGUGCCUGGCUUAUAUGAUAAUUUCAUAAAAGCAAAACAUUUAAAAUAACGUAAAUAAUUUUUAAAAUCGGACAUUGAAUGCAAGUACUGUGCUGAAGUGCUUUACAUGACAUGUCUCAUCUACUUCUCACACCACCCAGGGCCUGCUCGUGCUUUCGUUUGUCUUUAGAGAACUGAAAUAGACAGGACAAAUAACUGGAUCAAGGUCACACUGCAGCUGUGAUAAGAGACACUUUGAUGACAAGCUGAAAACAGCCCAUUGGAUGGAUUAAGUAUUUGGACUGAAAAUAAACAGGAGUGACAGCUCUGGUUCUGACCUGCCUAGAUUUUUGUUAUAGGACAAAUUAUUCAACCCUUCUGUUUUAUCAUCUGUAUUAAGGAGAGCAGUUGAUGGAAUUAUUUUUAAAGUUUUACCCCUCACUGUAUAAUGCUACAGUUUCAAUACAGCUUUAGCUCUGAGAACUAAGAAACAAAAUGGUAAUCAUGAUAAUCUAACUAUUAGAUAUUUGAUGAUGCCACAUUCAUAAAGCAUAAAUGUAACUUUAGUUCCUUUAGUAGUUCAAUUGCCCAUUUUGCUGUUGAAUGAAUGGCCAGCCCUUUCCUCUCAGUUCCUCUUGAGAGCUGUUGACCUGCAGAUAAAAUGUGUCCUCUUGAGUCCUCCUGGGAGCUGGGGACCUGUAGAAAAGAUGUGUCUGCUUUGACUGCUCCAGGCUGUACGUUUACAGGUCAGAGCCCUCCCUGGGGAGGUCUGUGGCCAUCCACAGGCAAGCUCUCUAAUUCUGGGAUUUAGUGUUAGGAAACCCAGUUGGCUCUUAAAUCUAAGCCACAUUCUGCAAUAUCAGCUUUCUUAGUAGUAAACAUGAUAUUUUGAUUUCCAUGCAUCUUAUUUUUUGGUCCUAUUUCCCACAUGGUUCAGAAUGUGGAUGUGAUGCUAUUUUGGGAGUUCCCUGAAGUCCCAAUGAACAGUACUACAUUGUAUGAAUAAAUGACUUUGGCCAUGAACUUUCUGCUAAGAUUCACGCAGGUCUUCUAUCAGUUUCUAUUGUCUCUGGUAAAAAAACUUGACAAAAUCACUGCAAACUCUUGUGUUCAGGAUGCUAGAGAUCGUCAUCUCAGCCAACAGUAACAUGGCAGCAUGUCACUCAUGGUUAUACAAAGGAAGCCAAAGCCAGAUAUUUAAUCAGUCACUGUGAGCCAUAAAUCAUUGCAUCCAAUUUGUUACAGAGCUCAAUCAAAAUGGGAAGGAAGAGGUUCUUAUUUUAUCAGUCUGAACACUGGCUGAAAGUAGAAGAACCAAUCCACUUUAUAAUAAUUUGUUUUCUCUCUUGAAUCCAGAAAGAAGAAGGGUUGAGGACACAGAAGGUACAUAGUUUAAUAAAUAUUUAAGGGCUGAGUAUCGUACCCAGACUUCUCUAGGUGCUGUGGGACACAGCAGUGGACCAAGAAGACAAAAAUCUGUAUCCUCAAGGAGCUUGUAUUUUAGUGGAAGGAGAUAUGCAUUAAUCAAAACAAAUAAGUAAAUAAACAAAUAAAGUAAGCAAAUAUGAUAAUGCAGUGUAGUGACACCAUGUUGGAGCCAGACAGCUUGGGUUCAAAGCCUGUCUCCAUCACUUACAAGCUGUAUGACCUUUGAGAAAGUUCUUAACCUUUCUGUGCCUUGGUUUCCUCAUCAGUAAAAUUGGUUUAAUAAAAAAAUGAGGAUUACAUUUAAUUAGUGUUAAACACUUAGAUCUGUGCCCAGCACAUUUUAAGUACUACAUAAGUACUUGCUGUUAUUAUAUUAAAUGGUACAAGUAGAAGAAAGGGAUAAAGCAGUAUUGGAUGGGUUUGUAGUUUUAAAUGGGUUGUUAAAAAAUAAAUCCAAAACAAGAUCUUGAUGAAAAGCUGGCUUUUAAGUAAAGACCUGAAGGAGCUGAGGGAGUCAGCCACUCAGAUAUUUGGUGGAAACCGUGCCAGGCAGAAGGAAUAGCAAGUGCAAAGGCCUCGAGGUUGGCAGAUGCCUCGGUUCUAGGACUGGAAGGUGUGGAGUGUGGCUGCGGGGGAGAAUGCAAUAGAGAGGGAUGGUAGAUUGGGACUCCUUAGAAGUAGAACCUAAGACAGGAAAUAAAAUGUCAUUGAUUUCCUGAGGAUGUGCUUUCAGGAAAAAGCGAGGGAAGAAAGGAGGAGAGAGCAGAAGAGCUAAGUGGCUUGGCUUCUCGUUUCUUCAUAUCAGCCAGUCACUGGCAGGGGGCUGUUGGGGAGAUGGCUCCCAUUGGCCAAGGGCAGUUCUCUUGAGCAAGGGCAGUUGUGAGUCGCUGCAGCAUCUGGAGGUGGCGUGGGGAAGGGGAUCCGGCAGUUUGCAGCAGUGCCCACUACAGGAGCAUCACAGAAGAUGAAGCUGCUCCUUCUAGGGACUUGAAGACAUUUCAAGUCGUAGUUCCAGAGGAUUCGAAUCUGAAUUUAAUGAGUCCAUCUGGCUACAUUCCAGGAACAGAAUCUUAGCCAUGAUGAGGACUGGAGGCUUUUCAGUCUGUACUUGUGCUUCUGAAAAAUGUUAAAAACUAUACAAUGGGAGCAUGUUGGUCCCUCUAUAGCUUGCUAGCAUCUGACUUUUUUUUUUUUUUUCCAGACAGGGUCUCAUUCUGUUGCUCAGGCUGGAGUGCAGUGGUGCCAUCCAUUGCAACUUUUACCUGCCAGCAAACUCUGCCUCCCAGAUUCAAGUGAUUCUCCUGUCUCAGUAUCCCAAGUAGCUGGGAUUAAGGUGCAGACAGACCAUCAUGUCUGGCUAAAUUUUAUAUUUUUAGUAGAGAUAGCAUUUUACCAUGUUGGGAAGGCUGGUGUUGAACUCCUGACCUCAGGUGAUCCACCUGAGGUCUCCCGAAGUGCUGGGACUUCAGGCGUAAGCCAUCACGCCUGGCUGAGAGAUCCUGUUUUCAAGUGCAGUAUAUAACCAGAAAGUUAUGUAUAAACACAGACUGGACAUGGCAAUUUCUGUUCACAAAGGUCACAUGUGCAAGUACAUAAAUUAGCAGCAUGUAUCUAGAGUUAUGAUCAAACUGUUUUUAAGAUGCAAGAAUGUAAAAUCACAUCUUGAAAAUAUGAAGAGCUGGUUUACACAUGUCAAAAAUCAUGUUACUUAUAAAAGAGACGAAUGACAGCUACAGGAUUCAAGUACAAUAUGACCUCAAGAAAUUAACACUUAUCAAAGAGAAUGAGAAUAUUUUUACAUUUCACUGAAAAUACAUUGACUACUAGAAUGUAAAAGUCUAGCAGGAACUCAGGGAGAAAGUUACAAAAUCUAAAACCAAUUACCUAGUAUUUCCCACUACCUAAACAACAGCAUGAUAUUAAAAGGAAGCUGAAAAUAUGGAACGCAUCAUGAAUUUGUGCAUCAUCCUGUGUGUGGGCCAUAUUGAUGUUCUCUGUAUCAUCCCAGUUUUGUUAUAUGGGCUACCGAGGCACGUGCCUUGUGUGAAAUUCGAGAUCAGGAAUGAGGCAGCAGCCUUUGCACUUUGAAGGCCAUCACCGGUAGGGGUGGUUAACAGUGCCUGUGGGGGCGGGGUGCUGUGGCUCACACCUGUAAUCUCAGGUGUGAUUGGGGGCCAUGGCGCCCCCAAUCCCAGCACUGCAGAGGCUGAGGCACGAGAAUCACUUCAGGGAGGCAGAGGCUGCAGUGAGCCAAGAUCACACCAUUGCCCUCCAGCCUGGGUGACAAGAGGGAAACUCCGUCUCGAAACAACAACAACAACAAAAAAACAAAAUACAGUGCCUGUGGGUGCCAUCUUGUCCUCACUUUUUCCCACUCAGUGUCCAGCUCUUCUUCCUGAUGCUGGCCUUACUGGCCAGCUAUGAGUCAGGCCCACCAUAAGAUGCUCUGUUAUGAACUCACAGAGGAGGAAGCCACAAAGAGCUGGAAGUCCUCCACAGACUCCUGCGCCAGUGCCUUCACGGUUGCCCUCCAGCAGUCAGUGCACCUCACAUCCAGCAAGCUUCCACUUGUUCACUUUUUCCAGGCUUGCUUGAUUAGUGACUUUUCUCUGGUGCUUUUCAGACCGUUCACCCUCAGCUUUUCCCCAGAUUGUGAAAAGUCUAACUCCAUAAUAAAUAACAUACCCCACAGUGCUCAUAAUGGUCUUGCUUCCCUGAUUGCACUCUACUGGUACAGGAGGGAACUAUAAUUGCCUUCGUCUUAUUACGUUUCCAGGAACACUUUAUCAUUUCUUACAGGUUGCCACACCAGACAUCUUCUUGGCUGGCUGUCCUUGAAUAGAAUCAAUAUAUAUCAAUAUAAUCAAUGUAGCCCUGAAUAUAAUGUAUUAGUCAAUCCUCACACUGCUAUAAAGAAAUACCUGAGACUAGGUAAUUUAUAAAGAAAAAAGGUUUAAUUGGCUCAUGGUUCUGCAUGGCUUGGGAUGCCUCAGGAAAAUUACAAUCACGGUGGAAGGCGAAGGGGAAGCCAACACAUCCUUAUGGCUGGAGCAGGAGGAAAAGAGUGAGGCAGAAAGGUCUAUAUGCUUUUUUUUUUUUUUUUGAGACUGAGUUUCGCUCUUGUUACCCAGGCUGGAGUGCAAUGGCACGAUCUCGGCUCACCGCAACCUCCGCCUCCUAGGUUCAGGCAAUUCUCCUGCCUCAGCCUCCCGAGUAGCUGGGAUUACAGGCGCGUGCCACCAUGCCCAGCUAAUUUUUUGUAUUUUUAGUAGAGACGGGGUUUCACCAUGUUGACCAGGAUGGUCUCAAUCUGUUGAUCUCGUGAUCCACCUGCCUCGGCCUCCCAAAGUCCUGGGAUUACAGGCUUGAGCCACCGCGCCUGGCCCUAUGCUUUUAAACAACCAGAAAUUGGGAGAACUCAUGAUCACAAGAACAGCAGGGGAAGCUGCCCCCAUGACCCAAUCACCUCCCACUAGCCCCUUGUCCAACAUUGGGGAUUACAAUUACACAUGAGAUUUGGGCGGUGACACAAAUCCAAACCAUAUUAAUAAUAUCCUUGAAUUUCUGGUAGAGAGGGCAUGAAGAACUCUUUUCAGAGGAACCUUAAUCUAUCUAUCUGAAUAUCCUUUUCAGUGAGACAUACAGCUAGACAUACAACAGGAGGCAAACCAUGACCUUAUAAAUAUCUUUCUAUAGGUAAUACACUAGUUUGGCUCAAAAAUCAGAGCUGGGAGUUCCAGGAAAGGUGGGGUGAAGGCGGUUUCCUCACUCUUUUGCUUUCAGCACAGUGUGAUGUAUUAGUUUAUGUAUGGUCAGCUAUAUUAUCAUAACUGUUUUUCAAUCAUAGUCUCUAAUUUUAAUUAAAUCAACUCUCAUAAAAACAGGCAGAUGACCUAAAAAGAUUUCCUGAAAAGAAACCGUGGAUUGAGGCUAAAACAAUAACAUGAGUACAAGCAAAUAAACGACAACAAAAAAGACAGAGCAGAGACUUCAACCCCUAGAAAAAGCUCUUUGUUAUCCACAUUGAAAGGUAAAAAUAAUAAGGGUCAAAUGAGAUUUGAUGAAAAGUCUGACAAAACAGUCCAAAUUAUCAAGGAGAUGGCUUGCUGGUUGUAUUUACAUCCACUAUCAUUAAUGAGGAACCACAACUUAAGGGCAUAUUUUGACGUGAAAUGGUAAUGAUUGUAGCAUGAUGCUGUCACCAUCAGAAAGACAUUUAAAAAUAUUAUUUCCUACAGUCAAUUAAGCUGAUCGUGUUCCUUACCUGGCAAGGGCCCAGUGUGCAAUGGCUGUGAAUGGCAGCCUUCUCGGAAGUGUGUGGCCCUGUUGCUUGUAUGCUGUAUGUGUUGCCCUGAGGAACCUUGGACACAGCCCUUUCCAAUGGACGUUCAUGUCGCUGACCUGAUGCUCUCCCCAGUCUAGGCUCCAGACAGGUACGCAGCAUGCCUCUGAAAGCCCCAGGGUAUGAUAGGCAAGGCCUACAUUGGCCAAGUCAUUAUGUUCAUUUGCACCAAGCUCCAGAACAAGGAGCAUGAGAGUAAGGCCCCACACAGGACCAAGUUCAGGUUCCCGAGCUGCCGGAAGAUCCGUAUCUCACAGAAGCAAGACUUUACCAAGAUUAAUGUGGAUGAAUUUGAAGACAUGGUAGCUGCGAAGCAGCUCAUCCUAGACAGCUAUCAGGCCAACCCCCCCCGCCAUCAUGGUCCCCUGGACAAGCGGCCAGCCCUGUGCUUAUGGGGGCUCCCACUGGGCUGCCCCUCCUUAGUCACACCCACCAAUAAAGCCUACU